rnacentral:rRNA from 1 species
UAUGUGAUCGUCUCUCGCAUAUCAAUAAGCGGAGGAAAAGAAACUAACAAGGAUUCCCCUAGUAACGGCGAGUGAAGCGGGAAGAGCUCAAAUUUGAAAUCUUAAAGGGUUUCCCUUUACGAAUUGUAGUUUAAAGAAGUGUUUUCUGUUGAGGUUUUGGUAAAAGUUCUUUGGAAUAGGACAUCAUAGAGGGUGAGAAUCCCGUAUUUGACCUUUACUUUCAACUUUGUGAUACACUUUCAAAGAGUCGGAUUGUUUGGGAAUGCAGUCCAAAAUGGGUGGUAAAUUUCAUCUAAAGCUAAAUAUUGGCGAGAGACCGAUAGCGAACAAGUACCGUGAGGGAAAGAUGAAAAGAACUUUGAAAAGAGAGUUAAACAGUACGUGAAAUUGUCAAAAGGGAAGCGUUUGACACCAGUGUUGUUUUUCUGAAAAUCAAUUAAAGAACUGUUUAUGCUAAGUUGUUUAGACUUUAUCAGCUAACUGUUUAGUUUUGAGCUUUUCUUUAAUGCACUUUUCAGUUAACAAGUCAACAUCAAUUUCUUUUGCUGUAAAAAAGCUUGAGGAAGGUGGCUUGAGAUUCGUCUUAAGUGUUUAUAGCCUCUUGCCUAUGCAGUCGGAGAGAUUGAGGUCUGCAGCGUAGAUCCUUCGGGGCUAAAUGCAUUUGUGCUAAGUUAUAGCAUUUUAUAGACAACUUGUUGACUAUGAUUUGUCUUGUAGCUUACUCGCUUAUGUUAUUUUACCUACGCUUAGGAUGUUGAGUCGUAGAGCACGCAG